CCUGAGAAACCCAAAAGAUCGAAUGGGGAGAUUCAUCGUCAGCUCAUUUUGUAUAUGUAUUAGUUAUGAUGCGUGUACAUACUUUUACAUUUAUUUGCAUUAUGUUGUCGGCGUGCACUUCUCCCCUAGUAGGACAUCGCGACCCAUUGGGUGUCGGUCUACGACCAAAGCUUUAAUAUAUUAAAGACACUUUGUAUUAAAGACACUUUGUGUUUUCUGACCGGCUGCCCGGUGGGGUAUUAAGCCGCAAUUAUAUUUGCGUUCUUGCGUUCAUAAUCGUCACAAGCGGGGCUAAUCUGGUAGUACGGACCUAGUGCCGUCGCUGGAACGAUAUUUUAGAACUGGCUUAAAAUUAAUUUACCGGUCGGCGAUGCUACUGCUUUGGGUACUUUCAGGACCCGUCUUGAAACACGGACCAAGGAGUCUAACAUGUGCGCAAGUCAUUGGGAUUUAAACCUAAAGGCGUAAUGAAAGUAAAGGUUGUC
rnacentral:rRNA from 1 species